rnacentral:rRNA from 1 species
GAAUGUACCCUUCUCUAAGGAAUAGCCUCUGGAAACGGAGAGUAAUACCUUAUACGCCCUUCGGGGGAAAGAUUUAUCGGAGAGGGAUCAGCCCGCGUUAGAUUAGAUAGUUGGUGGGGUAACGGCCUACCAAGUCUACGAUCUAUAGCUGGUUUUAGAGGAUGAUCAGCAACACUGGGACUGAGACACGGCCCAGACUCCUACGGGAGGCAGCAGUGGGGAAUCUUGGACAAUGGGCGCAAGCCUGAUCCAGCCAUGCCGCGUGAGUGAUGAAGGCCUUAGGGUCGUAAAGCUCUUUCGCCAGGGAUGAUAAUGACAGUACCUGGUAAAGAAACCCCGGCUAACUCCGUGCCAGCAGCCGCGGUAAUACGGAGGGGGUUAGCGUUGUUCGGAAUUACUGGGCGUAAAGCGCGCGUAGGCGGGUUGUUAAGUUAGAGGUGAAAUCCCGGGGCUCACCCCCGGAACUGCCUUUAAUACUGGGAUCCUAGAGUUCGAGAGAGGUGUUUGGAAUUCCCCGUGUACAGGUGUCUAUAAUAUAGAAUAGGGAGGA